rnacentral:rRNA from 1 species
UACGUAGGGGGCAAGCGUUGUCCGGAUUUAUUGGGCGUAAAGAGCGUGUAGGCGGUCUGGUAGGUCCGUUGUGAAAACUCGAGGCUCAACCUCGAGACGCCGAUGGAAACCCUCAGACUAGAGUCCGGAAGAGGAGAGUGGAAUCCCUGGUGUAGCGGUGAAAUGCGCAGAUAUCAGGAAGAACACCCGUGGCUAAGGCGGCUCUCUAGUACGGUACUGACGCUGAGACGCGAAAGCGUGGGGAGCGAACAGG